AAAAUAUUUAAUAGAAAAUAAAAUUUAAUACUCAAAUUUCUCCAGAACUUGUCAAAAUCCCUAACCGACAAAACUUGUCAAAUGUUGGCUUCCUCUGUUGAUGUUUCCGGCGUCGAAAGUCGUCUCCUCUCCGGCAAUUGAUUCACAAUGUUUCUUGAAAAUUAAUUUGCAAUUCUCUCUCGAUGACUCUCCCCCUCUCUUUUUGCUAAAUAUUUCAGAUUUUAACUCAUUUUUUAAUCUUAAACUUUCAGUCUGCGAAAAAUAUUUAUUGAGUACAUCGUGCUGGAUAAGGUGAAUGAUAAAGAGCCACAUGCUUACCAGCUUGGCACACUGCUAGAGACAUCUCAAGUGGUAACAAUUGAUGUUGCAAGUCCAGAAGCAGCUUGUAGCCAAAGUAGAAAUUGUGGAACCAGGUUUCAAAAUUGCUAUCAUUUCAAAGUCUGGUGAAGGUGUAGCUCAUGUAUCUCCCUUGGAGAAAAUAUGCUUCUAAGCCAUCUCUUGCUGAAUUGAUAGAAGAGGAGAAGCCAAAACCUAAAGUUGAAACAGCACCUGUCUUGGAUAAGCAGCCUAAUGCACCUUCUCUGCAACUGAGCCCCAGCUUCCACCUGAGGACAGGGAAGGACGGCUGAGUUUCGUCAUGGUUCUCUACUUAGACCAAAAAAUGUUCCUAUGACAAGGCGACGGAAAAGGGUUGCUACAACAUUGAAGGACUCUCAGAAUACAUUUGCAAUGUUGACAACAUUCAAUGAAGUUGAUAUCUGGUGUACAUGUGUUCUUGCCAACAAAUGUAGAAGGCUCUCUUAAUUUUUAUAUUCAUGCAAACAUGUUACCCUUGUUUUUCAAGUCCACCACCACCCACCUUGUAAUUAGAUAUGUCACUUACCUUGUGCUUCUACUGCUUUGUAAAUUCAUCUAUGUCUUGCAAUUUCUGGAUGAUUUAUUUUAUUAUGCUUUUAAUCUUUUUUCCAAAUUAAAACAAGGAGCAGAGCUCCAUAUGUCCAUGUAGUCCCUGUUUUUUAAGCUCCGCUGUCUUGCACAGGGCAUGACAUCUUGUUAGGAGUGUUUCUGUGUUAGGACCUAUGUAUAUACUCUUUAAAUGAAAGAAAGAGACAACAAAGGCACAAGCACAAGACAGGACAAGUGUCACUCAAACAAAAAUUAAGGUUGGACCACAAACACAGAAGACUGGAACGUGGCAAGAGCAGAGCAAGGGAGAUGCUUAUGGAGAGAAAAUAAAAGCUGGAAAUGAAUCAGGAGGAAGGAAGGGAAGAAACUCGAGGAAAAGGGAGUGAAGGGAGAGUUUUCAGACUCUCGAAUGAUGGAUAGUUUAUGUUAUCGUUUCUUUUUUUUAGCUUAGUUUUAUGCCGAAUACAGUAGCAGAGAACUGUCUUUGUAUUACUGUAACCUUAUCAAUACGAUUAGUAUUUUUCAUACUAAUUGUAUUUAUUUACUACACAUUUUCAGCAGUCACAAAUACCAGAAAUCUUUGUCCAGCGACAUUCCAACUGCAACAAACCAUUAUCCAGCAGAAGCAGUAGCAGAACACUCCAGCAGCCAUAUACAUUUCCCUCAUAUUACAUUUUUUAGUAUUCACCCAUUAAGCAAGACUCAUGGCAACAGAGCGGAGUGAUUCCAGAACUCCAGUGAAGUCUAGCAGGUACCUAACAUUCUGCAACAUUAAUUGCAAUGGUUUGUAAUUCAGGCUGAAAGUUUCUAUCUUUUUUUUGGUUAAAAAAACAAAAACAGAAACUUUCAGCUGAAAUAGUUCAAUAGCACAUUUUUGCUGAGCCCCUCAAUAAAAAUAUCAUAUAUAAUUAAAUUUGGUGGAACA